GUUAUCCGUCUUUCACUGCUCAACAUUGAUACGACUUUCUACUUGUAGGAGGUCGGAGCGUAGUAAAAGACUAGUUGUUUCACAGGAAAAGGCUGUAGAAUGAACCCUGUGGUUAAAUCUGCAAAUUCAAUGACUGAGUGUCCAAAGAUCUGCUGGAGGAACACGUGUGCAGAUGGAUAAAAAUGCUAGCUGAAACGCAUGGAACCAUAUUGGAUUUCACCUAUGAUGGACACAGUGACCUCUGGUGGCUCCUUGGUCUCCUGAUGGAACAGUCUCAUGCCUCUUGAGUCUUUGAUUCUACAGUUGUCAUGAACUGUUGGUGUUUGCGCUUGGCCAACGGGUUCUCUUGCUCAUCCACACUGAAGUUGCCGUGAUUGAUCUGCAGCUGCGAGUACCUGGGACGUUGCUCAUGUGUUUGACUGUGGCAGCUGAAGCUUGGAUGACAAAGACCAGCAAGUACCUGGGACUUUGCUCCUGUAAGUUGUGUUUGACUGUGGCAGCUGAAGCUUGGAUGACACCCAGACCAGCUGGACGUGGUUGCUAAGGUGUUGCGUGCAAAGUUAAAGGAUUACCCAUGGCCUUGGAUGACCACUGGAGCCUUUAAAUCGACUGUCUAUCUGAAAAUGCUGGCUGACGCUGGUCACUGACAAGUUGUUGUCCAGGGAAAUUGAAGCAAGAGAAGGUUUUGAGUUCAUGCUGGCUCACUUUGUCCUGGCCAACAGUGACACCUGUGAGUUUUCUGCCAUGAAAAAGUACUUCAACUGAAAUUUCUGAUUUAAUAAAAUUGCUUAAAUGCAAA